rnacentral:tRNA from 1 species
GCGAUCCUGGUGCGCUCGGACAGCACCGCGAGCCGGGCCCGCUCGUCCCGGGUGCGCUCGAGCAAGGCGGCGUGUUCGGCCAGCGCGCGGAAUUCGCC